rnacentral:lncRNA from 1 species
AAAAAGUACACACGACUGAAUUUUUAUUGUGUUUAUUGAACUUCUUCGGUGAUUUCUAAUUCUUUUCAAUUGCUGAAAACAAUAGCUUCUCAUUCCAAGAUUUGAAAUGGAUUGAUAUUAUGUUUUGAAAAGUUUGGGUUCAAGCUUUGUUAAGGGUUACUGUUCCAUCAGAUUUUUGGUUGAUUUUAUCGUUCUAAUUGCUGAAUCUGGAUCGAUUUCUGCUGCUACUCUGCAGACCCAUCACUUUUCCUUUUCCUAUUUUAAUUCCAG